rnacentral:rRNA from 1 species
CUUGGUCAUUUAGAGGAAGUAAAAGUCGUAACAAGGUUUCCGUAGGUGAACCUGCGGAAGGAUCAUUAAUGAAUUAAAUCGAAAGCGAGUUGUCGCUGGUCUCUCGAGGCAUCGUGCACGCUCUUCUUUCCUUCAUUCAUCUACCCCCCUAUGUGCACUUACCGUAGGCCGAGAAAUUUGGCCUAUGUAUUUUAUUACACCCCAUAAAAGUUUAAUGAAUGUUUCAAAUAAGAUCGAGGACGCGAGUCUUUCGAUUUUAAUAAUAAAUUAUACAACUUUCAACAACGGAUCUCUUGGCUCUCGCAUCGAUGAAGAACGCAGCGAAAUGCGAUAAGUAAUGUGAAUUGCAGAAUUCAGUGAAUCAUCGAAUCUUUGAACGCACCUUGCGCCCCUUGGUAUCCCGAGGGGCAUGCCUGUUUGAGUGUCAUUAAAUUAUCAACUCGAAAAUCUUGCGUUUUCGAUGUUUGGAAUUGGAGCGUGCGGGGCCCUACGAGGCUCUGCUCCUCUUGAAAUGCAUUAGUGGAACUUCUGAUUGCAGACCUGCUCCAGCGUGAUAAUUAUCUACGUUGCGGUAGUGAAGUCGGAGGAUCUGCUUACAACCGUUGCAUAUAUGCGCAACAAAACUCAUGACAAUUUGACCUCAAAUCAGGUAGGAUUACCCGCUGAACUUAAGCAUAUCAAUAAGCGGAGGAAAAGAAACUAACAAGGAUUCCCCUAGUAACUGCGAGUGAAGCGGGAAAAGCUCAAAUUUAAAAUCUGGCGGCCCCUGUGACUGUCCGAGUUGUAAUCUAGAGAAGUGUUAUCCGUGCCGGACCGUGUACAAGUCUCUUGGAAUAGAGCGUCAUAGAGGGUGAGAAUCCCGUCUUUGACACGGACUACCGGUGCAUUGUGAUGCGCUCUCAACGAGUCGAGUUGUUUGGGAAUGCAGCUCAAAAUGGGUGGUAAAUUCCAUCUAAGGCUAAAUAUUGGCGAGAGACCGAUAGCGAACAAGUACCGUGAGGGAAAGAUGAAAAGAACUUUGGAAAGAGAGUUAAACAGUACGUGAAAUUGUUGAAAGGGAAACGCUUGAAGUCAGUCGCGUCGUCUGGGGAUCAACCUUCUCUUGAGUUGGAGCACUUCCCAGUUGACGGGUCAGCAUCAAUUUUGAUUGUUGGAUAAAAGCUGGAGGAAUGUGGCAUCUCCGGAUGUGUUAUAGCCUCUCGCCGCAUACAACAGUUGGGAUUGAGGAACUCAGUACGCCGCAAGGCCGGGGUUCACCCACGUACGUGCUUAGGAUGCUGGCAUAAUGGCUUUAAUCGACCCGUCUUGAAACACGGACC